GCACACAUCCGUAAAUUUGGGCGUGCGAUGCCUCUUAUACCUGGAAGACUUGCUGAUUCUUUACGAAUCCAGGCUACGUUUGCAGACAAAUUUGUCGUUCACUUUCAGGACUCCAUGUGUUUUUUGUUGUACACAGACAAAGAUCGCUUCCCCAUCUGAAUCGGGCCAGUUCCUCGGUUUCGACAUCGGCCUGGAGAACUACGUUCCGCGUCUGUUUACGGCAAAGAGCGCCUCUAUAAGGAUAGCUGCCGGAUUGUGGGAUUCCUCUCCUCCUCCAUACAAGCGUUAUUCCCUGGCCCACUACGACUGAUGGUGAGAUACGUACGCACCGGUCACUCAUACGACCACUGGAUCCCACUGUCAGCGGAAGUGAGGAUGGAAUUUCGAUGGUGAUUACUUCACAUACAAACUUGGAUUGGCAAAACGACCUUUGACUCUUCCUUCGGAUACGGGGCGAUGGAUGAACCCCUGCAAACGCGACCCAGCCGUUCUCCACAAUAGCAAGGGUGCUUCGAUACACACACACACCCACAAGAUAUCGCUCCUGCUCAUGACACCCCUCGGGCAGGGCCAACCGUGAUUUCCCGGAUCGCCUGGAGAUGUCUCGCGAAGACCCUCUACAACUCCCUACCUUCCCUCUACUUCUGACGGGACCUCGAGGGGAAGCCCACUCCCUUGUCAUGGAAGGACAACUGGC